rnacentral:misc_RNA from 1 species
AAGUCGUAACAAGGUUUCCGUAGGUGAACCUGCGGAAGGAUCAUUAACACGUUUUCCGAACGUUUUCUAUGAACCAUCUCCUAUUUUCCGUGAACAACAACAAAACCCGGCCUCCCAACCCGUUCUACCUGUUUACAGGUGUGUGACGUUGCUGGGCGUCUACGCUUUUAGGGCACCAUGGGAGCUUGCUGAGCUGAAAAGAAUUUUACAGUUCUUAGUACGCUUGUUUGCUCUUCCUUUAAGAAAGGCGUUGCCAAAUAACCCAAACCCCUUAAAUCUAAUUGCUCUGAACUCUUUAGUUGCUUGGGGACGCAUUUCACGAUGUUUCCUCUUCAACGAAUUAAAAACAAACAACAACUCUUAACAACGGAUAUCUUGGUUCUC